rnacentral:rRNA from 1 species
AUUGAACGCUGGCGGCAUGCUUUACACAUGCAAGUCGAACGGUAACAGGGUGCUUGCACCGCUGACGAGUGGCGAACGGGUGAGUAAUGCGUCGGAACGUGCCGAGUAGAGGGGGAUAACGCAGCGAAAGUUGUGCUAAUACCGCAUACGUACUGAGGUAGAAAGUGGGGGACCUUCGGGCCUCACGCUAUUCGAGCGGCCGACGUCUGAUUAGCUAGUAGGUGAGGUAAAGGCUCACCUAGGCGACGAUCAGUAGCGGGUCUGAGAGGAUGGUCCGCCACACUGGGACGGACGCACGGCCCAGACUCCUACGGCAGGCAGGAGUGGCGGAUUUUGGACAAUGGGCGAAAGCCUGAUCCAGCCAUGCCGCGUGUCUGAGUAAGGCCGUCGGAUUGGAAAGGACUUUUGUCAGGGAGGAAAUCCCUAGUGCUAAGAACACUGGGGGAUGACAGUACCUGAAGAAUAAGCACCGGCUAACUACGUGCCAGCCGCCGCGGUAA